rnacentral:sRNA from 1 species
GCUGGAUAUGGUGGUGCACAUCUGUAAUCCCAGUAGCUCAGGAGGCAGAGGCAGGAGGAUCACAAGAUCAAAGCCAGCCUAGGCAACUUAGCAAGGCCCUGAGCAACAUAGUGAGGCUCUGUCUUAA